rnacentral:rRNA from 1 species
UACGUAGGCAGCGAGCGUUGUUCGGAGUUACUGGGCGUAAAGGGGGUGUAGGCGGUUGUUUAAGUUUGGUGUGAAAUCUCCCGGCUCAACUGGGAGGGUGCGCCGAAUACUGAAUGACUUCGAGUGCGGGAGAGGAGAGUGGAAUUCCUGGUGUAGCGGUGAAAUGCGUAGAUAUCAGGAGGAACACCGGUGGUGUAGACGGCUCUCUGGACCGUAACUGACGCUGAGACACGAAAGCGUGGGUAGCAAACAGG